rnacentral:rRNA from 1 species
UACGUAGGGUGCAAGCGUUGUCCGGAAUUAUUGGGCGUAAAGCGCGUGUAGGCGGCCCGGCAAGUCCGCUGUGAAAGUCGGGGGCUCAACCCUCGAAUGCCGGUGGAUACUGUCGGGCUAGAGUGCGGGAGAGGCGAGUGGAAUUCCUGGUGUAGCGGUGAAAUGCGCAGAUAUCAGGAGGAACACCAAUUGCGAAGGCAGCUCGCUGGAACGUAACUGACGCUGAGACGCGAAAGCGUGGGGAGCAAACAGG